UACUCCGGAUCAGCCAUGACCUCUCAGAUUCGUCAGAAUUAUUCCACCGAGGUGAAAGCUGCCGUGAACCGUCUGGUCAACUUGCACCUGCAGGCCUCCUACACCUACCUCUCUCUGGGCUUCUUUUUUGAUCGUGAUGAUGUGGCUCUGGAGGGCGUAGGCCACUUCUUCCGCGAAUUGGCGGAGGAGAAGCGCGAGGGAGCCGAGCGAGCGUCUCUUCGAGUUGCAGAACGAUCACGGGGGCCGUGCACUCUUCCAGGAUGUGCAGAAACCAUCUCAAGAUGAAUGGGGUAAAACCCAGGAGGCCAUGAAAGCUGCCUUGGCCCUGGAGAAGAAACUGAACCAGGCCCUCUUGGAUCUGCAUGCCCUGGGUUCUGCCCGCGCAGACCCUCAUCUCUGUGACUUCUUGGAAAGCCACUUCCUGGAUAAGGAGGUGAAACUCAUCAAGAAGAUGGGCAACCACCUGACCAACCUCCGUAGGGUGGCAGGGCCACAACCAGCGCAGACUGGCGCGCCCCAGGGAUCUCUG